rnacentral:misc_RNA from 1 species
AAGUCGUAACAAGGUUUCCGUAGGUGAACCUGCGGAAGGAUCAUUAUAGAAUUGUUCGAAUCCAUACGGACAUUUUCUAAAAAUCCGUAUCCACACCGGUAGGGUCCGAAGAGUUUUUAUAUUUUUCGGGCCCUUACCGUAGGGUUCCUCACUCGCUCCCUUUCGAGGGGGUUGGGUGUGGUUCUGUCUGACCCAUGCCUAUAAUUUUAUUUUGUCUGAACUUGUUUAUAAAAAUUAAUAAACAAAAACAACUUUCAACAACGGAUCUCUUGGCUCUC